ACUAAAUAAAAAUCUUAUAAAAUAAUUCUAAAUAAAACAUUUAAAUAUUUAAAGCUAAAUUAUUUACCCAAAAACAAAGUACUAAGCAGGAAUAAUAAAAUUAUAUAAAGUAGUGUUAAAAUCACGUACCUUGUGCAUUAUGGUUUUACAAGCCAAAAAUUAAAAAUAUAUUCCCGAAUUCUGUGCGAGCUGCCACUUCAUAGCUAAGAGCCCACUACUAGUUGUAGCACCAACUUUAGAAAAUGAGGUGGCAGAGGCUACAUACCACCCGCGCCAGAAAAUUGCUGGUUCUCUAUAAAAUUUAUUAAUUAAAACAUGUAAUAACAUUACAGUGUAAGAUUACAGAGGAUAAGCCCUGUUAUCAAAAGCAAAACAAAUUCCUAAUAAAAUAUAGUAGGCUUAAAAACAGCCACCAACAGUACCUCACCGUCCCACGCAAAAAAAUAAAUAUAGGUUAUGCCCCAUAAAAUAGAGAUUUAAGACAAAUAGGUUAUCUUAAAAUAUUAUGUAAAAAUAAGUAUUAGAAAAUAAGUAAUUAAACCUACAGCAUUAUAUCAAAAUAAUAACAAACAAACGCUUAUAAAGGAACUCGGCAAACUCUUAUUUCGACUGUUUAACAAAAACAUUGCUUCCUGAAAUUAUAUAGGAAGUAAUUCCUG
rnacentral:rRNA from 1 species